AGGUGUCUGGAGUUCAGAAGUGUGAUUAUGGUGCCUGCCAUCACUGAAUUCCAGUUUAGAGGUGGAUUCGGUCAUGGACGUGAUCAGCCUCCUCAGUAGAAUUCUCUGGUCAUGUUUUUGUGUAGAAUAAAAUAGGUGAAAAUAAAAAAAAAUAAAAAAUUUAAAAAAAAUCACAUCUAAUUGAAACUACACAUUUCUUUCAUGGCAAAGGUACAAGUCAGUGCCUUUUUGCAAUUAAAGUUUUUUAGGAUCCAUCAUUUACAGCCAUAAUAACAAUAAUAUUUGUAUUACAGUAGUGUCUAGGAAUGCUUGUCAUGGACCAGGAUCCCAUUGUGCAAGGUAUAAAUGAGGAUCGCUUAUGUACUGGAUAGCAUCUAUCCUUUGAUGCACAGCCGCCACUAGAAUGAAUGAAAUUAUG